rnacentral:rRNA from 1 species
AACGAACGCUGGCGGCAGGCUUAACACAUGCAAGUCGAGCGCCCCGCAAGGGGAGCGGCAGACGGGUGAGUAACGCGUGGGAAUCUACCCAUCUCUACGGAAUAACUCAGGGAAACUUGUGCUAAUACCGUAUACGCUCUUCGGGGGAAAGAUUUAUCGGCGAUGGAUGAGCCCGCGUUGGAUUAGCUAGUUGGUGGGGUAAUGGCCUACCAAGGCGACGAUCCAUAGCGGGUCUGAGAGGAUGAUCAGCCACACUGGGACUGAGACACGGCCCAGACUCCUACGGGAGGCAGCAGCGGGGAAUAUUGGACAAUGGGCGAAAGCCUGAUCCAGCCAUGCCGCGUGAGUGAUGAAGGCCCUAGGGUUGUAAAGCUCUUUCACCGGUGAAGAUAAUGACGGUAACCGGAGAAGAAGCCCCGGCUAACUUCGUGCCAGCAGCCGCCGUAAGAC